rnacentral:tRNA from 1 species
UGCUCGGGUGGUGAAAUUGGCAGACACGUACGCUUGAGGGGCGUAUGCUGUAAGGCAUGCGGGUUCGAAUCCCGUCCCGAGCAAC